UCAUGUGGAUCACCAUUGGAGGACUUUUACUUUGGAGUCUCAUUGAGAUCACCAACGUGCCACAUUAUCUUUUUGGUGAAAGUAAAAAUUCUAUACCUUUUGCAUGCUUGUUUUGUUUUGAUCGACAUCGGUAAAGUGAUUAUAGGGUUUGAGUUUCGGCUCGAUAUUUUUAACUGUUAAAGUUACUAACUUGUUUGAUUUUAAAAUUUUUAAAAAAUUACUUUUCACUGCAUGAUCAGAAUCCAACACACC
rnacentral:lncRNA from 1 species